rnacentral:rRNA from 1 species
AGUCUACGGGAGGCAGCAGUGAGGAAUAUUGGUCAAUGGGCGAGAGCCUGAACCAGCCAAGUAGCGUGCAGGAUGACGGCCCUCCGGGUUGUAAACUGCUUUUAGUUGGGAAUAAAAAAGGGACUUGUCCCUUCUUGUAUGUACCUUCAGAAAAAGGACCGGCUAAUUCCGUGCCAGCAGCCGCGGUAAUGACU